rfam:Gossypium raimondii Chr12_contig_15, whole genome shotgun sequence.
UGUUAAAAAUUUCAUCUAUUUGGACAGUUAAAAAUUAGCGGAAUUGAUGGAAUAACUAAAUAAUAACAUGUGACGUGCCACGUGUAUACAUGGACUAAUUUUUAACACCAAAAAUAGAUAAAGUUUUUAACA